UACGGAGGGUGCGAGCGUUGUCCGGCAUCACUGGGCGUCACGGGCGCGUAGGUGGCGCCCCAAGUCAACGGUGAAAGCUCGACGCUCAACGUCGAGUCGGCCGUCGAUACUGGGGGGCUCGAGCACUGUAGAGGCCAAUGGAAUUCCGGGUGUAGCGGUGGAAUGCGUAGAGAUCCGGAAGAACACCGGUGGCGAAGGCGGUUGGCUGGGCAGUUGCUGACACUGAGGCGCGACAGCGUAGGGAGCAAACAGG
rnacentral:rRNA from 1 species